rnacentral:lncRNA from 1 species
GUAAGUACAAAGACAAGUAAAGACGAAGGAAAGCAAUUUCAUUUCCUUGCGCAGCCCCAUACUGAAAUGCAUAUCGAAUUUUGAGCAAGAUGCAUUGGUGUAACGGUGCGUCUUGCUUAAAAUCCGUGCGGGGAAUGGCGAUUCAAGCCAGCGAAGUGCUUUCAUCCGUUGAACUAACAGCGCCCUCUCACGGCAUUUCUGCACCCACAUUCCUAUAUGAAAUCUGCUUGUUUGGGUCCCCUCUGCCUGCCUUUACAUUUCUGACAUGUAGUUUUGAAACACCCUGUAUAAAUAAAAUAACAC